CCCUUAGAUGUUCUGGGCCGCACGCGCGCUACACUGAUGCAUUCAACGAGUUUCUUCCUGGUCCGAGAGGAAUGGGUAACCUUUUGAAAGUGCAUCGUGAUAGGGAUAGACUAUUGCAAUUAUUGGUCUUCAACGAGGAAUUCCUAGUAGACGUAGUUCAUCAGACUGCAUCGAUUACGUCCCUGCCCUUUGUACACACCGCCCGUCGCUCCUACCGAUUGCAUGCUCAGGUGAGCCAUUCGGACUUUCAUCAUGCUGGUUUCCAGUUUUGAUGAAGGAAAGUCUUGCGAACCUUAUCAUUUAGAGGAAGGAGAAGUCGUAACA
rnacentral:rRNA from 1 species